CCAGCCAAGUGAAGAAAUCAGUAAACUCCUCUUGGAAGUGAGAAACCAAAACCAAAUCCCCAGAUCUGAAGAUCAUCAAAUUCCGGAGAAACCUGGUGAUGCCAAGAUGGUCCCUUUUCUAUUCUUUGGUAUUUGGGGGCAGUAGCAGAAUCAAUGAUACUUACCUCUUCUGGAGCUGAUUCACCCCAUCUAUUAAUGAAAAUAUCCAGGAGGAAAACUGCCCACCUUCUACUCCCAAGCCUACCAGCAAAGUCUCACCCAGCCCAAGAAAACAUUCUUCAAAUGGUCUGAUUUUCUGUGUACCACCAUCUGGCACUAAACAUUCAUUCUGUCUGGUGAUUUAUUGAUCCAUACUGGAAAUCAUCAGAAUAGCUAUGUGCCAUCACGGAAACCAUGCAUUCAUGUUCUAGCAUACAUUAGCACAGACUUUCCUUGGGGAGUGGUGAGAUGUUGCCCCUCCAUUUCAAGUUUCCCAAUCCCUCUGAAGAUUUCAGUUCAAUGGAAAUAUGACAGUUGUCUGCCUUGUGACUCUGACUAAGUGUCAACAGACCCUGGGCAAAAACUGUUGGGUCUCUGAGUUGCCCACCCACAUCACUCCACUGAAUCAUGUCCAAUUCUUAUUGUCCUUGUCAUCUUUCUGUUCUCCUCCCUCUGUUCACCAAACCCAGAGGAAAUUGGAGAUAAGACUGUGUUCAGACAUUUCAACACGGACAAAGAUUUUGCGCAUUAAGUCUCU